rnacentral:rRNA from 1 species
GAUGAACGCUCGCUACAGGCUUAACACAUGCAAGUCGCGGGGCAGCAUGGGGGUUGCUUGCAAUCCCCGAUGGCGACCGGCGCACGGGUGAGUAACGCGUAUCCAACCUGCCCUUCACCACGGGAUAACCCGGCGAAAGUCGGACUAAUACCGUAUGUUGUCCAUUGACGGCAUCCGAUUUGGACGAAAGGCUUGGCGGUGAGGGGUGGGGAUGCGUCCGAUUAGCCAGACGGCGGGGUAACGGCCCACCGUGGCUACGAUCGGUAGGGGUUCUGAGAGGAAGGUCCCCCACACUGGAACUGAGACCCGGUCCAGACUCCUACGGGAGGCAGCAGUGAGGAAUAUUGGUCAAUGGGCGUAAGCCUGAACCAGCCAAGUAGCGUGCAGGAUGACGGCCCUAUGGGUUGUAAACUGCUUUUAUGCGGGGAUAAAGUGGCCCACGGGUGGGCUUUUGCAGGUACCGCAUGAAUAAGGACCGGCUAAUUCCGUG